AUUUUACUCUAGGCAGCACACUUCUGCUUUUGUUCCUUCAUCAGGACGAAUUUACUCUUUUGGGCUUGGUGGUAAUGGGCAGCUGGGAACCGGUUCAACAAGCAACAGGAAAAGUCCCUUUACUGUAAAAGGAAAUUGGUACCCUUAUAAUGGGCAGUGUCUACCAGAUAUUGAUUAUGAAGAAUAUUUCUGUGUAAAAAGAAUUUUCUCAGGGGGAGAUCAAAGCUUUUCACAUUACUCUAGUCCCCAGAACUGUGGGCCACCAGAUGACUUCAGAUGUCCUGAUCCGACAAAGCAGAUCUGGACAGUGAAUGAAGCUCUAAUUCAGAAAUGGCUGAGCUAUCCUUCUGGAAGGUUUCCUGUGGAGAUAGCCAAUGAGAUAGAUGGAACGUUUUCUUCCUCUGGUUGCCUAAAUGGAAGUUUUUUAGCUGUUAGCAAUGAUGAUCACUAUAGAACAGGUACCAGAUUUUCAGGGGUUGAUAUGAAUGCUGCUAGGCUUUUAUUCCACAAACUUAUACAACCUGAUCAUCCGCAGAUAUCUCAGCAGGUGGCAGCUAGUUUGGAAAAGAAUCUUAUUCCUAAACUGACUAGCUCCUUACCUGAUGUUGAAGCAUUGAGGUUUUAUCUUACUCUACCAGAAUGUCCCCUGAUGAGUGAUUCCAACAAUUUCACAACAAUAGCAAUUCCCUUUGGUACAGCUCUUGUGAACCUAGAAAAGGCACCACUGAAAGUACUUGGU
rnacentral:lncRNA from 1 species